CUUUUAUUGAGAGUUCGAUCCUGGCUCAGGAUGAACGCUGGCGGCGUGCUUAACACAUGCAAGUCGAACGGAGAUUUACCACCUGCUUGCAGGAGGUAAAUCUUAGUGGCGGACGGGUGAGUAACGCGUGGGUAACCUGCCUCACACAGGGGGAUAACAGUUGGAAACGACUGUUAAUACCGCAUAAGCGCACGGUAUCGCAUGAUACAGUGUGAAAAACUCCGGUGGUGUGAGAUGGACC
rnacentral:rRNA from 1 species